GCAAUGUGCGAAAACACGACAAGGUUAAUCCGAGUGAUUUCUGCUAAAGAGAUCUUUUGUUAGUCCUAGAACCACUAACGAAUAAGGGGUGGGCAAGUUCUGGUGUCAGCCGCCGCGGUAAAACCAGCACCUCAAGUGGUCAGGAUGAUCAUUGGGCCUAAAGCAUCCGUAGCCGGCUCUGUAAGUUUUCGGUUAAAUCUGUACGCUUAACGUACAGGCUGCCGGGAAUACUGCAGAGCUAGGGAGUGGGAGAAGUAGACGGUACUCGGGAGGAAGUGGUAAAAUGCUUUGAUCUCUCGAUGACCACCUGUGGCGAAGGCGGUCUACUAGAACACGUCCGACGGUGAGGGAUGAAAGCUGGGGGAGCAAACCGGAUUAGAUACCCGGGUAGUCCCAGCUGUAAACUAUGCAAACUCAGUGAUGCAUUGGCUUGUGGCCAAUGCAGUGCUGCAGGGAAGCCGUUAAGUUUGCCGCCUGGGAAGUACGUACGCAAGUAUGAAACUUAAAGGAAUUGGCGGGGGAGCACCACAAGGGGUGAAGCCUGCGGUUC
rnacentral:rRNA from 1 species